GCAGCCACUGGCAAACCUGAGACGACAAAGGAGAAGAAAAAAGAGGGAAAUGCAAAGGAACAGCGGAAAGUCUCAGAAGAACCUCUCCAUGAGAAAUCCGAAAGUAAGAGUGCAAAGAAAAAAACGGAGAAGAAGGAUAAAGUCCCAGAAAAGAAGGAUGAUGGCCAAGAGGAGAAGAAAACACCCAGAGAAGACAAACUGGAGAAGUCUGAUAAAUCUUCAAAGUCUUCAGUUUCCUCACUGGACGCAGAGGAGCAGCCGAAGAAACCUUCUCUCCUCCAAGACACGAGCACAGACUCCGAUCCCGUCACCACCACCGUCCCCACCUCGUUCUCAGACGAUACUUGCGACGCGUUAAGCGACAUCACCCCUGAGCCACCUGAAGGGGAGACGGAGUCCCGACUGAGCGAGAUGCCAGCUGUGCCGGCCGAGGCCGACGCUCUGCUGGCUCUCAUGGACGUUUGUACCUCAGCAGAGGCGAGACUUCUACCUGAGAGCGGUCCGGAGGAUGCAGCGCCUGAGAUGACUCUGCAGGACGCUGAUAUGAAGAUGAAAGAGGCAGCUUUGACUCUGCUCUCCAUGGAUCCUGACAGUACCGUGUCCUCCACCUUAAUUCGCCACGAUACCAGGGAGGAACCAGAAGGGACACAGACUGCUCCACAGCUGAUGGAAAGCCCUGCAGCAGAACAACAAGAGUCUCCUAUGGAUGUGCAAACAGCUGCUGAAGCGGCGUUCACAGCCUCCGAGCCGUCACCAGUUGCAUCUCAACAAACUGUUGAGCUUGUUGAUGAGAAACCAAACGCUGCAGGUGUGUCUGAAAAUUCAGAGAAAGAAAUGGAUGUAGCAACGGCUGAAAUGUCUGAGUCUCCUACUCCACAGGAGGAUGACACUACCUCAAAUGAAUGUCAGGCUCUUUUAAAUGAGGAUGAAGCCAAAAGUGCAGUACUUGCUCCUGAAACCCAGCCAGGUGAAAACACGGCACCACCACCAGCAGCUGGUGAAGAAGCUGCUAGUGCUGUUGUGCCUGAAGCAGAAGAGGUCAGAGGAACCACGGAUGAAAGCACAAUUGCAGUUUCUUGUGAUACCACUGAACAAGUCUCAGAAACUCCCACUAAACAAGAGCAAACUGAGCCAGAUGUUGCAGAUACAAAGACGAUCCCAAAGGCAGAGGGAGUGGUAGCUGAGGAUAACCAGGCCAAGAUGGACGCAGAUAUUGGUGAAGCUGAGAGUAAGACAGUGGAGGAAGCAGAUGUUGCAACAGAGAAGAGUGAUCCACAAACUAUGGAACACAAUGUCCCACAGAAGACUGAAGAAAUCAGAGAAAGUGGACCUGAGAGUCAGUCCAAACUGGUCAAACAAAUCAGUAAUGUCUCCAGCGCAGACAGCCAGGAAGAUGAGAAGGGAUCAGACCUGUCAGAAAAGGAAGAGAAGGCGGAGGGACGAGGAGGCAGACGUAAACGAAGGCUGUCCACUCAGAAAGUUGCAGCAGUGAAAGAAUCUGGUGACGAGAGGGAUGAAAAAGAAAGUAAAGAGCAACAGUCUGCUGAGGAAACUGAUCUGGAGAAGAUUGGUGAAGUCAGAACACCACGCAGGGGUCGAUCAUCCAAAACCACCGAGGAGGCAGAGAAGGACCAACCUAAAGAACCUGAGAAAUUAGAGGAGACUUCGAGCCGCGGAGGAAGACGUUCAGGAGCUGCUGUCAAAGAAGCCAGUGCUGAUAAUCGGAAGGAUGAGAAUAAAGACGAGGAGAGCACCAAUAAAACAACUAAACCAGCCGAGAGAGAAGAGACAACUGAAGAGGAAAGUGGACCAAGGAAAAUUGCACGGCGAGGAAGUCAAGUCAAUCUGCCGUCUCCUGUUCCAGAAAACACUGAAGCUGCAGGAAGCUCUGACUCCAAACCGACAACUAACACACGUAAACCAGCAAUGAAAAGGAAGAGAUCAGAGGAAAUUGAGGAAUCUGAGGAGGAAGCCCAGGCUAAAGAGGAGGUGAAGAAGGACAACAGUCAAGAGGAACAACGUUGUUCCGCUUCAGUGAGCCAGGCAGAGAGUGAAGAGGAGAUCUGCAGCGAGAAGAAUCCAGAUGAUCUUGAGGAGGAGCAACAAGAGGACCAAGAGACAACUCCAAAGAGACCCGGGCGAAGGGGACGGUUGUCGAAGUCAGCAGCUGCCACAGAGGAUCCAGGUGAGAAAAUGUAA
ensembl:lncRNA